GACGAACGCUGGCGGCGUGCUUAACACAUGCAAGUCGAACGAAGAGCGAUGGAAGCUUGCUUCUAUCAAUCUUAGUGGCGAACGGGUGAGUAACGCGUAAUCAACCUGCCCUUCAGAGGGGGACAACAGUUGGAAACGACUGCUAAUACCGCAUACGAUCUAAUCUCGGCAUCGAGGAUGGAUGAAAGGUGGCCUCUAUGUAUAAGCUAUCACUGAAGGAGGGGAUUGCGUCUGAUUAGCUAGUUGGAGGGGUAACGGCCCACCAAGGCGAUGAUCAGUAGCCGGUCUGAGAGGAUGAACGGCCACAUUGGGACUGAGACACGGCCCAGACUCCUACGGGAGGCAGCAGUGGGGAAUCUUCCGCAAUGGACGAAAGUCUGACGGAGCAACGCCGCGUGAGUGAUGACGGCCUUCGGGUUGUAAAGCUCUGUUAAUCGGGACGAAAGGCCUUCUUGCGAAUAGUGAGAAGGAUUGACGGUACCGGAAUAGAAAGCCACGGCUAACUACGUGCCAGCAGCCGCGGUAAUACGUAGGUGGCAAGCGUUGUCCGGAAUUAUUGGGCGUAAAGCGCGCGCAGGCGGAUAGGUCAGUCUGUCUUAAAAGUUCGGGGCCUAAACCCGUGAUGGGAUGGAAA
rnacentral:rRNA from 1 species